UGCAGAAUCCCGUGAACCAUCGAGUCUUUGAACGCAAGUUGCGCCCUAAGCCAUUUGGCCGAGGGCACGUCUGCCUGGGCGUCAAUCAUCUAUUCGUCACCCAACCUCCGCUCCCCGAAAAGGAGCUUUGGUCCCGGGUACGGAAGUUGGCCUCCCGUGCUCUUGAAGCGCGGCUGGCCUAAAACUGAGCAUCGGACUGAUGAUCUCCGAGGCACGCGGUGGUUGUUCAUUCCUACCUCGUGAUGUUGCCAAGGAGCGUCUCCCGUACGAAGCUCCACGACCCUAGAUAUACUAUCGAUGCGACCCCAGGUCAGGCGGGGCCACCCGCUGAAUUUAAGCAUAUCAAUAAGCGGAGGAAAAGAAACUAACAAGGAUUCCCCUAGUAGCGGCGAGCGAACCGGGAAAUGCCCACCAUGAAAAUCGAGCUCCUUUGGUGCUCGA
rnacentral:rRNA from 1 species